rnacentral:rRNA from 1 species
UUCUGCUAUCACUCUUGGAUGGACCUGCGGUGCAUUAGCUAGUUGGGUAGGGGUAACGGGCCUACCAAGCGAUGAUGCAUAGCCCGAGUUGAGAGACUGGAUCGGGCCACAUUGGGACUGAGACCACGGCCCAAACUCCUACGGGAGGCAGCAGUAGGGGAAUCUUCCACAAUGGACGCAAAGUCUGAUGGAAACAAAACGCCGCGUGAGUGAAGAAGGGUUUCGGCUCGUAAAAGCUCUGUUGUUGGUGAAGAAGGACAGGGGUAGUAACUGACCCUUUGUUUGACGGUAAUCAAUUUAGAAAGUCACGGGCUAACUACGUGCCCAGCAGCCGCGGUAAAU